AUUGAACGCUGGCGGCAGGCUUAACACAUGCACGUCGAACGAGUGGCGGACGGGUGAGUCAUGCUUGGGAAUCUAGCUUAUGGAGGGGGAUACCUACGGGAAACUGUAGCUAAUACCGCGUACCAUAGGAUGAGCCCAAGUGGGAUUAGGUAUUUGGGAAGGUAAAUGCUCACCAAGCCGACGAUCUCUAGCUGGUCUGAGAGGAUGACCAGCCACACGGGGACUGAGAACCGGCCCAAACUCCUACGGGAGGCAGCAGUGGGGAAUAUUGCGCAAUGGGGGCAACCUGACGCAGCCAUGCCGCGUGAAUGAAGAAGGCCUUCGGGUUGUAAAGUUCUUUCGGGAGCGAGGCGUUAACUACAGAAGAAGCACCGGCUAACUCCGUGCAAGCAGCCGCGGUAAUUC
rnacentral:rRNA from 1 species